CAGCCGCCGCGGUAAUACGAAGGGUGCAAGCGUUACUCGGAAUUACUGGGCGUAAAGCGUGUGUAGGUGGUUGUUUAAGUCUGUCGUGAAAGCCCUGGGCUCAACCUGGGAAUUGCGAUGGAUACUGGGCGACUAGAGUGCGGUAGAGGAUAGUGGAAUUUCCGGUGUAGCAGUGAAAUGCGUAGAGAUCGGAAGGAACGUCUGUGGCGAAGGCGACUAUCUGGGCCAACACUGACACUGAGACACGAAAGCGUGGGGAGCAAACAGGAUUAGAUACCCCCGUAGUCCCUGUCUCUUAUAC
rnacentral:rRNA from 1 species